GACGAACGCUGGCGGCGUGCUCAACACAUGCAAGUCGAACGGUAAGGCCCUUCGGGGUACACGAGUGGCGAACGGGUGAGUAACACGUGGGUGAUCUGCCCUGCACUUCGGGAUAAGCCUGGGAAACUGGGUCUAAUACCGGAUAGGACUCCUGGCUUCAUGGUUGGGGGUGGAAAGCUUUUGCGGUGUGGGAUGGGACCGCGGCCUAUCAGCUUGUUGGUGGGGUAAGGGCCUACCAAGGCGACGACGGGUAGCCGGCCUGAGAGGGUGACCGGUCACAAGGGGACUGAGAUACUGCCCAGACUCCUACGGGAGGCAGCAGUGGGGAAUAUUGCACAAUGGGCGCAAGCCUGAUGCAGCGACGCCGCGUGAGGGAUGACGGCCUUCGGGUUGUAAACCUCUUUCAGCUAUGACGAAGCGCAAGUGACGGUAGUAGCAGAAGAAGGACCGGCCAACUACGUGCCAGCCGCCGCCGUAAUAC
rnacentral:rRNA from 1 species